CAUUUCAAAAUAAGGGGAGGGCAGGGACGCCAGGGCGAAGGCCCGGUAGUGAGGGGGAGGGGCUGGAUGACAGUUGGGCAGUUGGAAUGAGGAGGCCAGGAAGAAUCUGAGACAGUUGGAAGGUGGCCCUGACCAGGGCAGCAGGAUGUGGGAAACAGAGGAGAGGCACGAGGCAAGCAGAAUAAUUCCACAGGCCAAAAGAAAGGAUACAGAAUAGUUUCCUGCAUGGAGAGAGGGAAGUCAGGACCGGAUAUGAUCUGAGACAGGGUUUCAUCUGCCUUCACCAUACUCAAGACAGAGGAUCUGCCUUCUGGGGCUCACGGCCUGGCGAAGGAGGAGAAGAGCCGUGGUAGAAUUUAUUUUGAAAGCUGCCUGUACUUCCUCUGUGGGAUGUGAAUGGAGCGUGCGCACAGCUGAAGGCGGGAAACCGGGAUGACCCGGCAGCGUCCUGUAGCAGAACGGCACACUGAAGAAAUCGUCCAGGGAGGGACCCGGGACUCUUGGCACCUGUGAGGACAUAGGUGCCAGGCUGUAGAACCGUGACAACUGCCCUCCAUGACAAAACGACUCUGUCCUGUCCUGUCUCUCUGUCUGUGGAGAGGAAGAAAAUGCAUCUGCAAAGGCUCUGAAUGCACAAGCCAGCUACGUCUCACCUGGGAGGGCUGAGGUGACUCCGGGCAGUUGGGGGGGAGGGGGGGUCACCACAACUCCGACUUCUCCUGGAGCACGCCUGGCCUCGCGUACCACCUCCGCCUCCAGAGCUCCUGGCACCAGGGAGAAACAGGGUGUCAUUUGGCCUAGAUGACCUCUCAGAGCCUCCGUGCUCUGCCCAGCCUUGUCAAGAGUGGUCCAGCUCUACCUGCCCCAGGGCCAUGGUCCUUUGCUUCCCAAGGAAUUCCCAAUUAUUGCCUCUUUGAGCCAAUAAUUAUUUAGGGCGCUUUAAAAUAUGUUAGGUAAAAACAUUUAAAAGUGUAGUAAGUCUACCUCUGUAACUAAGCGGCUGUUGGAAACAGGCAUUUCCUCUUUCUUCUUUCUUUUUCUUUUUUUAAAGUAUUUAUUUGUUGUGGGGAUGGAGAGAAAAAGCAGGAGAGCACACGCAGGAGAGCAAGAAGCAGACUCCACCCCUUCCCCAAGCUGCUUUCGGACAGCCUGAAGCUGCCCCAAAGCCCCAGAGCUCUCCAGAUACUGUAAACACUGUGGGGGGAAGCAGCCCCCUGCAGACUCCUGCCACCCCCCCCCACCUCCCACGAAGUCUCACAGGGGCUACAGGGCCUGGAGUUUCCAUAAUGAUGGUCACGAGUCUUGUUAAGCUGAAAGGGCCACCCCUCCAGGCUGCUUCGGUAAGACAAGGGUAGGAAAGAAGAAUGUGGGAAAAGAGUCUCGAGGGGAACGGGGCGGGGGUGGGGGCAGGGAGGGAAGGCAGGCCUGAGGUCCCUUUUUUCUCUGAAAUGACCUGCACACCCUUUCCAUCAUUCCCCUUCACCUCCAGUGCCUCACCCCUCCUCUCUCCUCUCAGCGGCUACAUUGCUUCCUGUUCAGCCAAGUAAACAAACUCCCCCCCCCUCCAUUGUAUCAACACCCAUUCCAUUUAAGUGCUGGAGGCUACCCUACUUCCUAGUCAAGGACAUCCCUCCUGCAAUUGACCUCUAUCCACCUGCACCAUUAGGCCCCUCCCCAAAGGGUCAUCUUCCAGCAAGUAAAAUCAUGCCGAGAGAGUCAACCCUAUGGAGGUAUAAUUUGUAUAUAAAAUGCACCUGUGGUAAGUGUAAAGUUACAUGAGUUUUGACAAAUGUAGACCCCCACGUAACCACCCCCACCACCAAGGUCCAGUUCUAAACCUGUUACCAUCACCCCCAAAAGCUGCCCCCUGGCUGGGCAGCAUCCCCGUGUAUGGAUAGAGCACGAUUGGUUCACACAUGGGCCUGCUGACACGCAACUGGGCCGUUCCCAUUUUGGGGCUAUUAUGAAUAAAGUGCAGUGACUAUUCCUGUAAAAGUCCUUGUGUGGAAACACAAAUUGCUGGGCCAUAUGAUAAGGUACGUUUAGUUUUACUAGAAACGUCCGAAAGGUUUUCCACCGUGGUUGGAACAUUUUUGGCAUUUCCAUAGCAACCCAUGAAAGUUCCAGAGGCUGUACCUCCUAUUACUGGGUCCCCCUCUGCCUAAAAUCAGUCACAUGUGGGCGCGUGGGAGCCAGCCGGGAACUUUGAUUUUGUUUACAAUUUGUUUUUCUCUGGGGAUGACCUCUGUUGACCAUCUUUUCAUGGACCUACUGGCUGUUCACAUGUCUUCUUUUGUGAAGUGUAUGUUCAUCAUUUGCCUAUUGUGUUAGCUUUCUACAGAUCGCAAGUUUGUCAGGUUAAACUGAAGAAAAAAAAAAAAAAAACCAAGUAUGUUUAUUGACUCACAGUGACCGUGGGUCAGGCACAGCUGAGGUGGGUCUUCCCCUCCGGUCUCCAGGCCGCAGCCAAGGUGCUGGGCAGCACCAGAGUCCCACCUGGGGCUCAGGCCUCCUUCGAAGCACAUGUGGUUGUUGGCAGAAUGCCUUUCCCUGUGGCUACGGAACUCCUGGUGUUUUAUUCCAACACCAGCGGAAAAGAUCUAUGGCUGCCUCAUGAGCCUGGUUUAAAGGUUUACGUGAUUAUCUCAGGCCCACCUGAGAUAAUCUUCCUUUUGAGUGGCCUUAAUUAUAUCUGUCAAAAUAUCUUUUGACAUAUAAUACGAUGUGCUAAUCACGGGAACGACAUCCGUAAUAUUCACAGAUCCCACUCAUACUCAAGGAAGAGAUGAUUAUAUAAAGACAUGGGUGGUCCUUGGGGUCACCACAGAAUCCUUACCACACCAUUUUUCAUUGGUUGGUUUGUCUCCUUAUUGAGUUAUACGAGGACUUUAUAAAUUUUGGGUAUAAGCCCUAGGCAGAUCUGUGUAUUGCAAAGAUUUUCUCCUAGUCCCUGAGUUUGUCUUCUCAUUUUUUAAAGACUUAUUUACUGGGGGAGGGGGCGCCAAGGGAAAGGGAGAGAGAAUCUCAAGCAGACUCCACACUGAGCGCAGAUCCCCACACAGGGUUCGAUCUCGGGACCUUGAGAUCAUGGCCUGAGCCAAAACCAAGAGUUGGGGUCCUAACUGAUUGGGCCAUCCAGGUGCCCUGCCUUCUCACUUAAUGUUUUUGGUAGAAAUUUUUUGUUUCGAUGAAGCCCAUCUGUCAACUUUUAUAGUUCAUGCCUUUUAUUCCUCCACAAGAAAUCUUUGCUUACCCACAAGUAUUUUCUCCUGUGUUUUCUUUUAGAAGUUUGGUGGUUUUAUGGGGUACCUGGGUGGCUCAGUCGUUAAGCCUCUG